GUAGGGAAUAUUGGGCAAUGGUCGGAAGACUGACCCAGCCAUGCCGCGUGCAGGAAGACGGCCCUCUGGGUUGUAAACUGCUUUUAUCUGGGAAGAAAAAGGCCAUGCGUGGCAAAUUGCCGGUACCAGAUGAAUAAGCACCGGCUAACUCCGUGCCAGCAGCCGCGGUAAUACGGAGGGUGCGAGCGUUGUCCGGAUUUAUUGGGUUUAAAGGGUGCGUAGGCGGAUGAUUAAGUCAGCGGUGAAAGACUUCGGCUUAACCGGAGCAGUGCCGUUGAUACUGGUUGGCUUGAGUGUCGGAGGGGUACAUGGAAUUGAUGGUGUAGCGGUGAAAUGCAUAGAUACCAUCAGGAACACCGAUAGCGAAGGCAUUGUACUGGCCGACAACUGACGCUGAUGCACGAAAGUGUGGGGAUCGAACAGGAUUAGAAACCCGGGUAGUCC
rnacentral:rRNA from 1 species